rnacentral:rRNA from 1 species
UCAGGGUUUGACUCCGGAGAGGGAGCCUGAGAAACGGCUACCACUUCUAAGGAAGGCAGCAGGCGCGCAAAUUACCCAUUCUCGGUACGAGGAGGUAGUGACGAAAAAUACCAAGCCGAGGCUCAUUGAGUUUCGGCAUUGGAAUGAGAACAAUCCAAAUCUUUUAACGAGGAUCUAGUGGAGGGCAAGUCUGGUGCCAGCAGCCGCGGUAAUUCCAGCUCCGCAAGUGUAUAUCUAUUUUGCUGAGUUUAAAAAGCUCGUAGUUGGAUCUGCGUGUUCAGCAUCCGGUGCGGCUUCCGGCCGCUACUGGAAUGCGACACAUCGAAUGCCGGUGCGCCGCCGAUGCUCUUCAUCGGGUGUCGGCGGUGGCUGGUGAGUUUACUUUGAACAAAUUAGAGUGCUCAACGCAGGCGUUUCGCUUGUAUAUUUCUGCAUGGAAUAAUAGAAUAGGACCUUGGUUCUAUUUUGUUGGUUUUCGGAAUUGAGGUAAUGAUUAAGAGGGACUGACGGGGGCAUUCGUACUGUGACGUGAGAGGUGAAAUUCUUGGAUCGUCGCAAGACGCACUACUGCGAAGGCAUUUGCCAAGAAUGUUUUCAUUAAUCAAGAACGAAAGUAACGGGUUCGAAGGCGAUCAGAUACCGCCCUAGUCGUUACCGUAAACAGUAUUGACUGGGAGCAUGUCGGAGUUUCCAAGAACCCGAUAUGAACCCAACGGGAAACCUCAAGUUCAAUUACUGGGGGAGUACGAUUGCAAAUUCGAAACUUAAAGGAAUUGACGGAAGGGCACCACCAGGGGUGGAGCCUGCGGCUUAAUUUGACCCAACACGGGGAAACUCACCCGGCCCGGACACCGGAAGGAUUGACAGAUUGAGAGCUCUUUCUUGAUUCGGUGGGUGGUGGUGCAUGGCCGUUCUUAGUUGGUGGAGUGAUUUGUCUGGUUAAUUCCGAUAACGAACGAGACUCUGGCCUACUAAAUAGUCGUCGGAUCGCUUCAGUCCGACUGACUUCUUAGAGGGACAAGCAGUGCUUAGCUGCAUGAAAAGAGCAAUAACAGGUCUGUGAUGCCCUUAGAUGUCCGGGGCUGCACGCGCGCUACACUGAAGGAAUCAGCGUGUGGGUUUGCCUGGCUCGAAAGAGCUGGGUAAUCCGGUGAAAAUCCUUCGUGAUUGGGAUCGGGACUUGCAAUUAUUUCCCUUGAACGAGGAAUCCCUAGUAAGUACGGGUCAUCAGCUCGUGCUGAUUACGUCCCUGCCCUUUGUACACACCGCCCGUCGCUGCCCGGAACUGAGCCAUUUCGAGAAAAAUGGGGACUGACGGCUUGAGGCCUUCGCGGGCUUCUUGCCGACGGAAACCGCUUUAAUCGCAGUGGCUUGAACCGGGCAAAAGUCGUAACAAGGUU